rnacentral:rRNA from 1 species
AUUGAACGCUGGCGGCAUGCCUUACACAUGCAAGUCGAACGGUAACAGGUCUUCGGAUGCUGACGAGUGGCGAACGGGUGAGUAAUACAUCGGAACGUGCCCGAUCGUGGGGGAUAACGGAGCGAAAGCUUUGCUAAUACCGCAUACGAUCUACGGAUGAAAGCAGGGGACCGCAAGGCCUUGCGCGGACGGAGCGGCCGAUGGCAGAUUAGGUAGUUGGUGGGAUAAAAGCUUACCAAGCCGACGAUCUGUAGCUGGUCUGAGAGGACGACCAGCCACACUGGGACUGAGACACGGCCCAGACUCCUACGGGAGGCAGCAGUGGGGAAUUUUGGACAAUGGGCGAAAGCCUGAUCCAGCCAUGCCGCGUGCAGGAUGAAGGCCUUCGGGUUGUAAACUGCUUUUGUACGGAACGAAAAGCCUCUGGGUUAAUACCUCGGGGUAAUGACGGUACCUGAAGAAUAAGCACCGGCUAACUACGUGCCAGCCGCCGCGGUAACAC